rnacentral:rRNA from 1 species
GAGUGGGUUGUACCAGAAGUAGAUAGCUUAACCUUUAGGAGGGCGUUUACCACGGUAUGAUUCAUGACUGGGGUGAAGUCGUAACAAGGUAACCGUAGGGGAACCUGCGGUUGGAUCACCUCCUUACCAAAGA